UNCUGCCUGGACUGAUGCUUGAAAUGCCC
rnacentral:piRNA from 1 species